rnacentral:lncRNA from 1 species
AGACAGGGGAUUGUGACCAGAUGCCCCCUGUCAGGGACUUCUAUGGAAGAAUGGCGAUGGGGUUGGGUCUUCCUUAGCCUUACCUCAGCACUCCCAGCACAUCUGAUGCCCUCUUGAAGUAAAUAGUUGCGGAAACCCUUCAUGGCUGCCAGAUUCUGGACACACCAGGCACCGGAGUCGAGUCCUGUGGCCCAGAUCUCAGGCUGAGGAGGUAAGUCUCUUUGCCCUUUCAGCACCAAGAUCUGAAGUAAAAAAAUAAAUGAUUUUUUAAAAAGAUUAUUUCUUUUUACUGCCUCU